rnacentral:rRNA from 1 species
GAUGAGCGCUGGCGGCGUGCCUAAUACAUGCAAGUCGAGCGAACAGACGAGGAGCUUGCUCCUCUGACGUUAGCGGCGGACGGGUGAGUAACACGUGGAUAACCUACCUAUAAGACUGGGAUAACUUCGGGAAACCGGAGCUAAUACCGGAUAACAUGUUGAACCGCAUGGUUCAACAGUGAAAGACGGUCUUGCUGUCACUUAUAGAUGGAUCCGCGCCGCAUUAGCUAGUUGGUAAGGUAACGGCUUACCAAGGCAACGAUGCGUAGCCGACCUGAGAGGGUGAUCGGCCACACUGGAACUGAGACACGGUCCAGACUCCUACGGGAGGCAGCAGUAGGGAAUCUUCCGCAAUGGGCGAAAUCCUGACGGAGCAACGCCGCGUGAGUGAAGAAGGUCUUCGGAUCGUAAAACUCUGUUAUUAGGGAAGAACAAAUGUGUAAGUAACUAUGCACGUCUUGACGGUACCUAAUCAGAAAGCCACGGCUAACUACGUG